GUGGGGAAUCUUAGACAAUGGGGGAAACCCUGAUCUAGCCAUGCCGCGUGAGCGAUGAAGGCCUUAGGGUUGUAAAGCUCUUUCAGCUGGGAAGAUAAUGACGGUACCAGCAGAAGAAGCCCCGGCUAACUCCGUGCCAGCAGCCGCGGUAAUACGGAGGGGGCUAGCGUUGUUCGGAAUUACUGGGCGUAAAGCGCGCGUAGGCGGACCAGAAAGUUGGAGGUGAAAUCCCAGGGCUCAACCUUGGAACUGCCUUCAAAACUCCUGGUCUGGAGUUCGAGAGAGGUGAGUGGAAUUCCGAGUGUAGAGGUGAAAUUCGUAGAUAUUCGGGGGAACACCAGUGGCGAAGGCGGCUCACUGGCUCGAUACUGACGCUGAGGUGCGAAAGCGUGGGGAGCAAACAGGAUUAGAUACCCCAGUAGUCC
rnacentral:rRNA from 1 species